CUCUCUCUCUCUCUCUCUCUCUCCUCCUAGUCAUGGACUUGUUGUAUGUUGAGAACCAUGCCAAGAGGAGGAGGAAGAUGAGGAGCAACCUCGAUCAGGAUGAUCCACCAUCAACUGGAAUGGAACAUCUACCCCUUGAGAUCGUCCAUGAUAUACUUUCAAGAUUACCCAUCUCUUCUUUGGUGCAAUUCAGGUGUGUUUGUAAAGCUUGGAGAGCCUUAGCACAAGAUCCUCACCUUGUAAAAUUCUAUCUCUCAACUUCAACAACCAACGAUCCUUGCCUAAUCCUUCACUGCGAUUUUCCCAUCAGGAACCAGCUUUACUUCGUGGAUUUGGCUGCUGCUCCCCACCAAGGAAAAGACAAGGUAAAAAGAAUCAAUGCACCCUUUUGGCCUAUGAUGCCUGAAUUCGAUGUGGUAGGCUCCUGUAAUGGUUUACUUUGUUUAGCUGACUCGCUAUACAAUGAUGCUGUUUAUGUUUACAACCCUUUCACUAGGAACCAUGUAGAGCUCCCAAAAUCGCUGAAAUAUCCU
rnacentral:misc_RNA from 1 species